CCAGCUGAGCCGCGUGUGAGCAGAGCCCCGAGAGCGGAGGAGGGGAGGUGCCCCUCAGCGUGGGACUGAGAGCCCGGCGCCCUGCGAGCGAGCCAUCCUCACCCCAGCGCCUUCUCCUCACCUCGGUGACCCCUCGCCUCUGUCACCUGUCAGCCGCCUGCUCUCUUGUGGAACUCCAGUGUCCCUGAAAUCUGAGCCUAACGUGUCACUUGUGUCCUAGCAGUUAGAUCUGUGUUGUUCCUUCCCCGACGACAGGUUCCACUUGGGAAUCUGACCAAAGACCAGGGUGCGGCCACGGACCACCCCGCACAGAGUGGAAACGAGCCAAUCAGGAGUGGACAACCCAGCACCCAGAGCUAUCAGGCCACAGGCAUUCACUCUCAGAUGUCCUGUUUCUGUGGGGAGACUUUUCCACCUCCUUCCUCCCUGACCUGCUCCUGUCAUAAAGUGUGUCUGCUGCACCUUCUGCGUCCACCUGGUCAGUCCUCAAAGCGGGGAGACCACAAAC